GCCACUGUAGUCCCAGCUACUCGGGAGGCUGAGGUGGGAGGAUUGCUUGAGCCCAGGAGUUCUGGGCUGUAGUGCACUAUGCCGAUUGGGUGUCCACACUAAAUUCGGCAUUAAUAUGGUGACCUCCCAGGAGCAGGGGAUCCCAAGUUGCCUAAGGAGGGGUGAACUGGCCCAGGUCAGAAAUGGAGCCGGUCAAAACUCCCAUGCUGCUCAGUAGUGGGAUUGCACCUGUGAACAGCCACUGCACUCCAGCCUGGGCAACAUAGCAAGACCCUGUCUCUA
ensembl:misc_RNA Metazoa_SRP Metazoan signal recognition particle RNA